GGGACGUAACAAAGCGACCCAGGAAUGCUUGGGCGUGCCUCCACUCACGCCGGCGUCGGCGGGCGUAUUUCGCCUCACAGUAGGUCGCCGCGACCCGUUGCUUUUGGGGACGUCGAAGGCCCGGACGGAUUGGUACCCUACCGGCUGGGGAUGCGGCUUCGGCUUCUCCUCUUGUCCGGUGGGCGAAACCGCCGGUGUCCUGGCUGCCCUGCGACGGUCGUAGAGACGAGCCCUUCCCUUCGGGGGGGCGGCUCUCGCGGCGUGCAAAAGGUCGGUGAUCCACCCGACCCGUCUUGAAACACGGACCAAGGAGUCUAACAUGUGUGCGAGUCAGUGGGCGCACUAAACCCAGAGGCGUAAUGAAAGUGACACGGGUUCGGCUGUCGCCUCGUGUGGCAGCCGGACUCAGGGCCGAUCCCUCACCGGUUGGCCUCGCCUCUCUCCCGCGUCUCGGUAAGCCGGGUGAGCUAUUUUCCCCGGCCGCUGCUGCGGGGCUCGGGGGGA
rnacentral:rRNA from 2 species